AUUGAACGCUGGCGGCAGGCCUAACACAUGCAAGUCGAGCGGAUGAAGGGAGCUUGCUCCUGGAUUCAGCGGCGGACGGGUGAGUAAUGCCUAGGAAUCUGCCUGGUAGUGGGGGAUAACGUCCGGAAACGGGCGCUAAUACCGCAUACGUCCUGAGGGAGAAAGUGGGGGUUCUUCGGACCUCAGGUUUCCGGAUAACCUAGGUCGGAUUAGCUAGUUGGUGGGGUAAAGGCCUACCAAGGCGACGAUCCGUAACUGGUCUGAGAGGAUGAUCAGUCACACUGGAACUGAGACACGGUCCAGACUCCUACGGGAGGCAGCAGUGGGGAAUAUUGGACAAUGGGCGAAAGCCUGAUCCAGCCAUGCCGCGUGUGUGAAGAAGGUCUUCGGAUUGUAAAGCACUUUAAGUUGGGAGGAAGGGCAGUAAGUUAAUACCUUGCUGUUUUGACGUUACCAACAGAAUAAGCACCGGCUAACUUCGUG
rnacentral:rRNA from 1 species